CUCCGGAUUGAUGGACGGCCGAUCCAGCCAAUCGCCUCGCCUCGCUGCUUGGCUGCAGCCAAUAGGAGGGAGCGAGGCGCGGUGGGAGCCAAUAGGGGAGCGGCACAGCCGGCCAGGGGGACAGCCCGGCUGGGAGCGGAGGAUCAUUCCGUGCUGGUGGCUGAUGGGGAAGGAGCGGCGCGGCUCCGCGGUGGGGCUGGGGCGCGCCGUGCUCCCCCCCUCACCGCUCUCCCCCCGCCGCUCUGCCGGAUCCUGGGGGAGGCGCCGAGGGGCGGGGAGCGGCGCUUACAGCCGGAGCCGCCCGGGGAAGGGGCGCGCAGCCAGGAGGGAGGGAAAGGGUAUUUAUCUUACCCGUGUCGUUUGGAGGAGCUGCAGUGGGUGCAGCUCAGUGUGAAUUCUGUGGGACUGAGUGAGCUGGCAGAGAUGGAGCUGGAUCCAGUGUAAGGCGUGAACAAAGGUGAUCCCUAGGUUGAAGUUUCACCAAGGAGAUCUCGGUCUGGAAUGUGGUUUAAUGGCACAGGUGAAGAUCUUGGAAAAGUAGAGCAUCUAUAGGUGUGUGAUAACCAUUGAGUCCUGGCCUGAAGCACCGAUUGAGCAGCUGGGGAAAGGACUGGUCAGCCUUGGAGCACAGAUGUCACUGAUUGGAAAUGCUGUGUGCUGACAAACCUAUGGAAUCCUGUCUUGUCAGAGUCCCUACGGAGCUGGGCAGCAGUGCUGGGCUGAGCUCAGCUCACCAUGGUGGGAAGUGGUCGUGGGGAGCUGUGGUCAGUGUCCUGCUGGAAGAUGAAGAUACCCUGUUCUUGUCUGUACCUUCUGGUUUUUUACGUUUGAGUACAGAGAAGUUGAUGUUGUGCUGCACGUUUGUGUCACAACGUUCUGUCUUCAAACCCUGUUUCAAGUAGGAGAAAAGAACUAAAAAAAAGUAAAGUGAUGUGCUUAAUGGGAAGUAGUUGUUUUAAGGUGCCCAACUGAGAAGAGAAGAGACUUCUGCAGCCAUUUGGGUAACCUAAAGCACGAAGAUCAUGAUGCUGGUAUUUACGAGGUCUGCACACCAGGACUGUGAGUGCAAUUGGAGCCAAAGGAGCCUUGCUGUUCUGCUGGGGCUUUAUGAAAACUUCAGGAGCAUUUGAAAAGUUCUACUCUAUCUAGUGGCAGGAAAAAAGGAAAUGUAGUUUUUAUGCUUCACAGAAUCAUUAGGUUUUAAUUUAGCACAAGUAUCCCAGACCAACACAGAGUAUUUCUUUCUUAGAGUCAAAAUAAGAAGCAUCUAUGGUAGAAAGAGAGUACUGUGCAAAACUUGCUCCAGUGGGUAUGAGAGCUUUUCAGUCUGACAGUUUAAGUAGCGAAGAUGAAAGUGAGGACAGUUCUUGGGCAGGGGACUCAAAGAGGAAUGUGAUUCAUGGGGCACAGUGACUGGUGUAAUUAGCAGUGCAGCUGCUGCAGUGCCCUGUGCCAGUGCUAAAAAAGCCUGUUGUGGCCCGUGCUCUGCUGCUCGAGUGGCAGUGAUAACGAUGGCUGCAGCAGUGCCAGCUCCAGGCUGCUGUAUGGGAGUGGAGAGGUUUCUGCUGGGUUUCAAAUUGGCAUGGAACCAUCAUAGGCUUUCCUGAGGUGUUCAGGCUGAGGAAAAACUCUGGAAUUGGAAGUGGCAGAGUUUUGUUUUGUGUUCUCUGUAAAAAAUAGUAAAAGAGUAGCGAUACAGAGGGAUUGAAUUAAUCUGGUGAUGAGUAAAACCUGUCAAAUUCAGGCAAGGAAAAACCAAAGACUUGAACACCUUCAGUUUUAACAUUUUCAGCACGUGAGGUUUUAUUUCUGUAAUAAAUGCAUUUGUUUCGGUGUCCUAUUAAAUGAGGUUUAAAACUUCUUGCUGUGAUAGAACUUUCUAACUGUCAUUCUGCAAUAUCUGAAGCAUCUGACCUGUGGUUUGGUGUUUGUUUCCAUUUAUGCUGAGUGACACAUUUCAGACUUGACCCAGAGUGGAAUUUGGAGCGUGGAGCUCUUGAAGCGCUGGGACAAGGAGAAUGGGAAGGAAUGUUCUGCUGGAGCCAGGCUUCUUUCUCUGUAAAUGGCUGGACCAAGUGAGGAUGAGCUUUCACUGGAGAGUGGGGGGGAUUUUGAAAUACUAACCACAAAAUGUUACAUUCUGUCACUAAUGUGCACCAUCAGAACUCACUUCUCUAGCACUCGACAAAUGCAAUUUGCAUUUGAAAUUGAAGUGGAUUCCCCAAAGUCUUACAUCAGUCUCACAUCAAAGACAGCAGAAUUUCCUAGAAUUCAGGGACUCUGAUACUUACUGUCAGAGCAAUCUGCUUACCUGCAUUGCCCCAACAUCCGUGUUAGCAUCUCCUAACAUGCCACCUGUGCAGUGGAAGUAAUCAUUUUGUCCUGUCUGAGAGAACACUUAGCUUCCUUCCUGGCUGUUCCAAGUGUAAUACAACCAUAAAUACAUACACACGCAGUGCUUCUAAUUUCUUUGCCUUCCUUAUCCUCUUCAAAGGGUUUCUUGCUCUUUUUCAUCCUUUUCCUUGUCUUUGAUUUUGUUUCUAUCAAUUCCAUCUCCUUAGUCCUCCUGCCUCCCUCAAGUUUGUUUGGCAUUCUUCAGCAACGGUGUUUAUGGCUCGAUUCAAGAAAGAAAUUAAAGAGGGAAUCACAAGUUCCUGCAUCCUGAGGUAUCGAAGGUUGUCAGCUAAUUUACAAAAACAUGCUGUAAUCAUUCCUUGUUGUCCCUGCUGACUGAUGGUACGAGUUCCACAGGCUUAAAUCCAGGCACAAAGAUGAGUCCUAAAAUAACACUGCAGGGUUUCUCCUUGUGCAGUAAGAGACUCUGUGCUCGACCCAAGCACCUGCUGACUGCAACCUGAGUGACAGUAAGUAGUGUAGUUCUGUGGCUUGUGUGUCCAGCACGUAUAGAUGUGUACCCUGGGGCUCAGCACUAAUAAAGUCACCUUUUGUGAAAGCUGUAUUGCAUAUUGUCUUUGUCAUAGGUGGCUAUCAAUUUAUAGAACGACAGUCACAUGGUGCUCUUGGAAAUGCCAUUAAAUACUAAGAUUCUCAGUUUGCUUGAAGAUUGUGGAGGUUGUUUUGGUUUUAAUAACAAAAAUCUCAAGCCUGAGAAUGGUUCAGUCCUUUUCCCAUGGCAUCUUUGAGCCUUUUUCCAAUAUGAUAAGCAGGGUGAGAACUGAUUGUUUUAAAAAUUAAAAUAAUCUCCAUUUAAAGCCUAUGAAGUAAAAAUAGUUCUAGUUUGAAAAUGAAAAAUACUAUUUCAGAUGUUACAAAAGAAGGUUUGUUCACCUCAGCUCUGACUCUUCCCUCUCCUCAACAAUUAGAUAUUCACAGCCUCCAGAGGAGGUUAGCAAAUAGGCUGGUUCGAUUGGAAGGGGCCUACAAAGGUAACCAUGUCCAUUUGCAUCGCAUCUUAGGGCUGACCAAAAGCUAGAGCAGGUUUUGAGUGUCUUUUAGUGUGUUUGGGUUUUGUUUUGUUUGCUUGGGUUUUUUUGGCUGAUGUGUAGAGUAGUGUGACGUGUGCCCACUGCUUUUUUUUGCUUAGUUAAAUAAUUCAGCAGUUAAACUCCAGGGUAAAUCACAGGUGGGAAUGGGAUAUGAAACUUGUUUUACCCAGCUCCCUGAGUAACACGGGGUGCUGCAGUUUUUAGUGGUUCAAAAUGUUGAGGGAGAUGUGACCAAUGGAUUGAUAACUGAGUAACACCCGUGAGAUGGACAGAGUAGGAGGAAGAACUGAGUCUGUUUUAACGAUGAGUAAAUUGAGGUAAGUGAUCUGCACAUCAUGUGGGAAACCUGAAUAUAUAUUAUAUAUAUAUAUAUAUCCAAAUGUGAGCAGACCACAAACUUCCUAUUGGAGGUGCAGGCUGGGCUCUGCAUAUUCCGUGUGCCUUCUGCCAUUUUCUUGCCCAGUUACAGAAGUAGAUGCAGCUGCUCUUAAGACAUUUGGGAAGAAAAUGAAAAUUCAACAGAUUGAAGACUUGUGUUAGAAUAGGUGGGUGUUGCCUUUGUUCAAAGGGAGAGUGAAAGGGAAGGAAGUAAACUCUUUAGCCCAGAAGUUAUCAAAGCAGAGUUAAUUUUGAAGUAGAAGGGUGUUUUUAGAAACCUCCAGGGCAGGAUUCUCCUAUUGUAUAUUGAUCUGCACCAGGAAUACCUUUAAGGGGGAAGUAUUGUACUGGAAUAAGUAGAAUAAAUUGGUGCAGUGGAGGAGGCUGAACAGGUACCAGGUGUGGUGGCCUGGCUUGUACUGUUGAUGGAAUCAUUGCCAUUGGCCUCAUGAGCAUUUUGAUUUUGGCUUGUGAGCUGCUUGCAGUUCCAUUCCUGCAGUGAGGAUAAAGAGCAAUCAACAGAUUUGCACAGAAGCUGCUGAUAGACAUUAGCCAUGAGACCUAGCCUGGCAUUUAAAUAAAGCUUAAUUAAACAUAUGUUUUUUCUGGAAAUAUUUGAGAAUUUCUGGUGGUCACACUGGCAUUUUUCCUAUGGUGCACGUGGAGUCUGCAAUCAGCAAAAGCAGUUUUAUGGGGAGUAUGCACUGCGUGUCCUCUAAAGCUGUAAUUCAACUGUGUUUUGAGUCUGCUGAAGCAGGGUAGCUACAGGGGGGAGGCAGGACUUGGGCAAGUGACGUGCACUUUUACUGCAGUCAGUGCUGGGGUGAGGAUCCCUACCUCCUUCCCCAUGGUACCCUAACCCAGGGAGCACUGAAAUGGAGGCCUUCACAGGAAGAUAAACCUCAGUAUGCUUCUCCAGUGAAAUGUAUUACACAUUUGUUAGCUUUUGGGUAACAGCCAAAUCAUUCGUUGUCCCUCCCCACACACGCUUCCAUUUAUAAAUGAAUUCUUCAGUCUUUUGAAUGUCAUACAAAACUGUUCGAAACCAGACUUGAGCAAUUGAGAUUCAAUUAGUUCAAUCAGAGCGAUUCAAUUGACACAGCUGAGUUCUGCGAUCCGAACAAAAGAUUCUGCUGUAAUUGUGUAGCAAUAUAUAAAUGCUGAUACGAUUGUCUUGUCCUCAGCCCUCCAGAAGGAUGCACUGCAUUUUAAAACUUACUGCCAUGCACCCCGUUUCCUACUGGAUGCUUCUGUGGUGCCUCAGCCCCUUAUCGAAUUGGAGGUGGACACAAUCUAGUGGAAUACAGGAAGGUGUGCUUCCUGUGGGCAAACCUGCUGAAUGUUGGGCAUUAACAUGUAAUGCAUUGCUAACUUGGUGAACUGAGUUGGUCAUCCAGUCUGUCUUGAGACAGAUGAUCUUGUAUUACCCAUUUGCAGAUGAUGUUUCUGAUGAAUCAUUUGAGGCUGUGAUUCACAGCUUGACUGUAGUGAUGUUCAAGUCAAAAAAUGCACUUUAUCUCAGAGCAGGAAGGGCUAUGCUGUCUGCUUUUCUUGAAUCUACACCUGUCAGUCUGCAAUGUGCAACUGAGUGCAAAGCCAAGAAAAAAACAAGAAGUUUACUCACCAGCAUGAGAGCCAAGAAGCAGCAGUUUCCUUGGUCAUCUUGCUUCUGCCACAAGCAGCCAUGUCCUUAGACCUGUUUUCCAAUGGUUCUAUGACUGGUUGCCACCAGGUUUUUUUCUGCACCUUCCUACUUCUUUCUUGACCAUGUCAGGUUUGUCUCUUAAGGUUUUCUGUAGGUGAUGGAAGACCAGAAUCGUUCAUCUCACGUCCCUCAUUUUUGCAUGAGCAUGAAACCAAUGGUCUUACCAGCAGUUCUGGUGUUACCUAGCUCUGUUUUCUGUCAGAAGUUAAAAUCUCAUGUUGUCUGUGUAAAUGAAGCAUCAGCUCAUGCAUCACGUAAUUAAAGCAGAGAUUCUCAUCUUCCUCUGCCAGUCCUCCUUCAUCACUGUCUCAGGCACAGCAGAUGAAACAGCCUUAUUUGCUUAUCAUGCAAAUUCAAAUCAGGCAUCGUCUGAAAUAAGACUCUCUAAUCCUUCCUAGGGUUGUCUAGACUUCCAUAUUUCUAUGUGAGAUUUUAGAGAUGAAUUCCUUGGCCGUCUGCACAUGUAAAACUUCUGCAAUGUUUCACUGUCUAAUUAAUCACUCCUUCCAACGUUGUUUUCCCUAACACGACAUAUUUACUCCACGCAGGGUGGUGUUGUGCAGGGUAGUGGUUUGAUAGAGCAGCCCUUUCUUCUCCCAGAUUGCAGCGUGCCAGCCUCUGUUCUCUGCUUGUUGCAUGUAAGAUCAUUAUUUUCAUAUGAGGAAGAAUAUCACAAGCAGCCUCUUCUCCUAAGCAACCUUGACUUUCCUGUAAGGAUCACAGCCGUCCUUGGUUAUCUCCUUCCAUGCAGCUGGGACUGCUCAGUGCUGCCUUGCUGCUUCCCUGGGUAUUCCUACCUGUCUAUUGUGCUGUUAUCUCUUGUGUUACAUUCUCGCGCCUCUUGUGGAAUUUCUCUCAUGUUUAUUCUGCCCCAGGACCUGGCGUGACUCAGAGGUUGGACUUGAUAGACAUGAUAGUAAAACAAAUAAUGAUGGAACAUGAAAAAAUCAGACCUUGACUGGCAAGUAUGGAGAGUGAGCUGGUGUGUAAUUCCAUUCAGGGCAGGGUCAGCACAGUGUUCUUCUGUGUUCCGAGCAGAUGUUUGUGUGGGCUGCUCUUGGAGGUCCCUGAUAAUGGAAUUUCUGCUCCCCAACCAUUUGUUCCGUUACCUUGCUGUCCUCGCUCGUCAUAUUGUCUGACCUGAAUCUUCCCUUUCUUUUCAAAUGGGCGAUGAAUGGGAAAAAGGCGUUUCCAUUUCCUUUUGGAGCUGUUAAUAUUUAGUUGAAAGUACUGACAGAUUUUGUGGUCUCUGUCAGGGCAGCCACCUCUGUUUCUCCAUUCUCUCCCUGCAGGUUGUUUUCUGAACAGGCACUUGCUCUGACUGGCUUUCUGGCUGUAAGCUGUGUGAAGCAGGCUUAGGGCUCAGCAUUCAAAGCUGGGUGCUCUACUCCAAUGAGAUCUAGCUUAUUGUUCUUUCUGCAGUGGAAGUGGCAGCAGUGAUAAGUUGGAGGUAAUUCUCGAUGAGGAUCUGAGUCUGGAUGGUCAAUGCGUCAGUGCCAAACUAUUUGAUUGGCAUGAGGAAACUGCGUGGCUUUGGGCUGGGAACACAACUGGAAAAGAUGCUGAGGCUGUCCAGAAGUCCAUGGUGGGAUGUAAGGUGUCUGAUCUUUUUCACGGUGUUCUGGAUUUAUCCUUGCAGCAGCUAGGAUAUCUGUUAUUUCAAAAACCAUUCCUUCUCUGACACUUGUCCCUUAGGUAGCGUAGGUAGGAGGAGGAAUUCUAUCCUUUUUCAACCUCCACUUUUGGGAACCUGAGCAAAAGCGAAGCACCUGUGUACGUGAUAGCAUCCAUUACCAAGGUAACGUCAGUUGUUCUUCUCUGGACUUGUUCCUUGCUAGCAAGAAUAAUUACUUACUCAUUUUUCUUAACUAUCUCAUCCUGGGUCUCAUUCACAAUGUGAGGGAUCCCAGUUUAAUUGCUGAAUCUUGAAUUUUAGAGACAACAUAAACAAAUGUAACUGUAUCAGAUGCUUUGAAGAGUCUGCAGGCUGAAAUGUGUCCUUCCCAUCCACACAACUCAGUGCUGAGGCAGCUGAGGAGCAUGCUCUGCCAACGCCAGGCCAAGCAAAACCUCACCAGGAUUCUCAGACUGAUAAAACCAAUACUGGAGGAAAUGGAGAAAAAUCUGAAUAGAAUUUCUUAUUAUUAACUGCUAUCUGUACUGAGUGCAGUAUUACUAUUCUAGGCCUUCGAAAAUGACAUGUUAUUUUCCUUUCCUUUUAAAUAUGACAAAAGCAAGCCUCAGACUAAGUAGCAGAUAUUAAAUAUUGAAUAUUCCAAAAGGAUUUUUCAUCUGUUAAACAUAAAGACUUCUCUCCAAAAAGAAGCAGGCUGGUUAGGCCAUAUAUGUUUGUUUUUCUCCAUGCAGGAUGCGUUUUCCCACUUCAGCUUAAGCUGGAUAAACAGUUGAGUAAAUGGAAGCACUUUCUCUUAACAGAAAUGCUAUUACUAAAAACAGUCAGUGAUUUAAUCAAUUGAGUUUCACAGUAUUCACAGUUCACCCUCUUGUGUGCUAGAGUUCAGCACUGUACAAACAGGAUCAGAAAUUCUUUGCUUACCUAGCAGCAAACUGGCUGCUUAGUCAGACACACUGUUGAGUGUUCAGUGCUGAAAUAAAGUUUUGAUAAUUGAGCUUUCUCCUACAGCGCCAUUUGUUGUGGGGUCAGAUUCUUCAGGUAGCGGCUGUGCAAAGCACCUCAGCUGCUGCGUCCUCUGAACGAAGUGCAAACACUGAUCUUUGCAUGGAAUGGGUGGUGGGAGAUGAGCUGGGGAAAUACUCAGAGGCUUCCAACGUUAUUGCUGCUCAUGGGCUGCAUUUCUCUUUUUGAAGAUUCCCAGAGCUUGCAAUAUAUGGUGUAUAUUUAAAAGCCUCGUGAGGAUGGGAAUAAAACACAUUUUUCUUUCUUUUCUCCGUACUUCACGAAUUGCUCCUUUCUUGAAAGCCACAAAUGAUGGAACCUUGUUUGUUUUCUUACAUCCAUUUCUGCUGUUCUCACAGUCGUCUUAAAAACGUUCUGUUUCUGUCAUUGUUCCUUAAAUAUUUGCUUUCCAAUCUCAGAUGGCCUUAUGAAUGGAAACCCAUAGGAACUGAAUGUUUGUGUUUAUUAACGCUUCAACUUCUGCUGGUUAAGAGCUCUGGAAAAUAGAGCAGCAUGGGCAAAACAAGAGUUGCAUUUUGAAAUGCUGUUUGUGCAAGUGCUGUGGUUGCUGUCUGUUUCCUCCAAGGCAGCUUUAGGAGUCAAGGAGGUGUUCAAAACUGACAGUUAAUUUGAGUGAAAAUAGAUGCAAAAAGUGUCUGUUGGCAGCUGUGGGAUGUCUUAACUAGAAAGUACAGCAAGUGUGGAUGAGAAUGCGUGUUUGUAAAGAAAGGUGGGUGUUCACCUGGACAGAAUCAGGUUCUGGAAUACAAAAAGGUUGAAUUAGCAUGUGCAGGUAUGUGGAACUGCAUUCCAAUGUGUGUCCUCACUCACAGUGACCAAGCAAACCGAGCUGCUGUGUAUGCUGGGCUUGUUUUACUGUGCCUGAACCUAAACCACUCAGAAGUUCGGGAUAAAUGAGUGUACAGAGGAGAAGAAAAAUGACUUGAGUGUUUGUAUUCUAUUUGCAUUCAGUAGUGUGUCUAUGAGCCUUAAAAAAGCCAACAAAACGAAGUUUCAGACAAUGCGUUUCUGCAUACAGGUUAGUGAAGGUAAGGUCUGGUGUACAGGGAAAGUCAGUGCAAGGAAAGUACUUGUUAUUGUGAUAGAAAUCAAUCAUUUUUUAUUCUGUGAGGUUGGAAAAAAAAAAAAAGAAAAAGGAUUCUAGUAUGAUAUUCAUUACGUUGGGUGAAUGCUAGAGGGGGAUUUUUGUUCCUCUGCAAUGAAGGCAGUGGCUCAGCAACUAAUAGUUAUCACAAACACCAACAAAACCUUUUCCCCUUGAUCUCAUCUUAGAAUCCCCAGCCUUCCUCUUCCUUCUGUCAAUACUUGUGUCUUUCUCUUCUUCUCUGACUGCAAGGGAAGCAUGGGUGCAACUUACAGCUAGGAGUAGGAAAUGAAUUUAAGCAAAGCGAGGUGCUGCUUGGAUAAUACACACAUUUCUGCAAAGGGCUUCCAUCACAAACCCAUCUUAGAAUCAUGGAGUAUCACGUUUGAUUAAAUGAACUCCAACAAAGAGAAGAGAAAAGGCAAUGAAGGAGGUGCAGAAGGAUUUGAGUUAACUAGGGCAUCCUAUUGAGAACCUCAAACAGCGAUGAAAGGCCUGCACUACUGAACAGGCAAAGUAAAAUAAUCUGAGUAUAACUGCAGUCUAUGGAACUGUGGUGCUCCAGAGGGGCUGUGAGUGGGCUCCUGCCAUCCUCUUGCAUUGCUGCUUGCUCUCCCUGAUCUGUUGUUUGCUCAAAUCAAACCCGAGGUCAGCAAAACACGUGCUGCUGUUGUGAGGUAAAUGCUGGGCAAGCGGUCAAACGACGGAGGCAGAUCCAACCACCUGCUGGCUAUUGAGGCCCCUGGUCUUUUUAUUUCACUGCUGGGAUUGCAGGCAGUGCCUUGUGAUAGCGGAGCAGAAGCUGGACGUUUGGCUGGUGAUACAGAUGGGAAGAACCAGUUUGGGUUGAGCCAGCACUGCCCUGUGUUGCAGAGCAUUUCUUCUUCCGAUGCAGUAAUAAUCGUACCUGCUGCUUAGCUUGUUCACUAAUAGGGAUGAGUGCAUGUCUUAUCCUUUUAAGGUAGAACAGCAAACACUAGAUGUGUAUUUGGUCAGCAUUAAGUGUCACGUUGCGUUCUAUCCGUAUUUCUUCUUGUUUCAAGCAUCAGGGACAGCCCUGUCCAGGCCAGGAGAAGCAGCAAAGGAUGAAACCCUGGGGCACCUGCUGGCUGUUCUGCACCACGCUGCACGAGGAGCUCAGCACGCAGCAGGAACUGCCACCCCCAGCAAUGGCACAACUGCUCCUUGGCUGCAAGCAUGCAGGAGGAAGGCUGGGGAGCAAAAAGAGCUGGUGAGGGGCACAGUGAGAAGGAAACCUGCUGUGCCAGCAAUGCCAUCCCCUCUGCCUCAGCCAGAUGUUUCUGUUGCUUUGUGUGGGUUUGAGUCUGCACAGCUGGCAGCAGCCAUGGCAGAGCUGGCAUCAGCAUUGCAGACUGGGGGUGCAAAAAGGGAGAAUGGCAUCCUUGAUCAGUUGAAGAAUGGAUUUGGUGACGUCUUUAAGGAGUGUUCUUGAAGAAGCCAUGCUAAAAAUCACACUGAAGCUUCGAAACUCCCAACCUGCUGCGAAAUGAUGAUGAAGGUUGCUCAGUGGGCUUCUCCAGACUGCAGGGGUGCCUAUGGGCGUGCAGGAUGACAAGGCAGUCACAUGUGGAGUAUCAGCAGUUACACACAACGUUCUGUGCAAAUGUGAUGAGAAUAAAUUGGCUCCAGCAA